rnacentral:rRNA from 1 species
GCAACGGGUAACGGGGAAUUAGGGUUCGAUUCCGGAGAGGGAGCCUGAGAAACGGCUACCACAUCCAAGGAAGGCAGCAGGCGCGCAAAUUACCCAAUCCCGAUACGGGGAGGUAGUGACAAUAAAUACUGAUACAGGGCUCUUUUGGGUCUUGUAAUUGGAAUGAGAACAAUCUAAAUCCCUUAACGAGGAACAAUUGGAGGGCAAGUCUGGUGCCAGCAGCCGCGGUAAUUCCAGCUCCAAUAGCGUAUAUUAAAGUUGUUGCAGUUA